UACGUAGGGUGCAAGCGUUGUCCGGAAUUAUUGGGCGUAAAGAGCUCGUAGGCGGCUUGUCGCGUCGGCUGUGAAAACCUGGGGCUCAACCCCGGGCCUGCAGCCGAUACGGGCAAGCUAGAAUUCGGUAGGGGAGACUGGAAUUCCUGGUGUAGCGGUGAAAUGCGCAGAUAUCAUCAGGAACACCGGUGGCGAAGGCGGCUUUCUGGGUCUUACCUGACGCUGAGGAACGAAAGCCAGGGGAGCGAACGGG
rnacentral:rRNA from 1 species